rnacentral:rRNA from 1 species
GCUCUUGCAUCGAUGAAGAACGUAGCGAAAUGCGAUACUUGGUGUGAAUUGCAGAAUCCCGUGAACCAUCGAGUCUUUGAACGCAAGUUGCGCCCGAAGCCAUUAGGCCGAGGGCACGCCUGCCUGGGUGUUGCACAUCGUCGCCCCCGUGCCUUGGCCACGU